UAAUACGUAGGGUGCGAGCGUUGUCCGGAAUUACUGGGCGUAAAGAGCUCGUAGGUGGUUUGUCGCGUUGUUCGUGAAAACCGGGGGCUUAACCCUCGGCGUGCGGGCGAUACGGGCAGACUGGAGUACUGCAGGGGAGACUGGAAUUCCUGGUGUAGCGGUGGAAUGCGCAGAUAUCAGGAGGAACACCGGUGGCGAAGGCGGGUCUCUGGGCAGUAACUGACGCUGAGGAGCGAAAGCGUGGGGAGCGAACAGGAUUAGAUACCCUGGUAGUCCACGCCGUAAACGGUGGGUACUAGGUGUGGGUUUCCUUCCUUGGGAUCCGUGCCGUAGCUAACGCAUUAAGUACCCCGCCUGGGGAGUACGGCCGCAAGGCUA
rnacentral:rRNA from 1 species